AACGAACGCUGGCGGCAGGCCUAACACAUGCAAGUCGAGCGCGCCUUCGGGUGAGCGGCGGACGGGUUAGUAACGCGUGGGAACGUACCCUUCUCUACGGAAUAGCCUUUGGAAACGAAGAGUAAUACCGUAUACGCCCUUUGGGGGAAAGAUUUAUCGGAGAAGGAUCGGCCCGCGUUAGAUUAGAUAGUUGGUGGGGUAACGGCCUACCAAGUCUACGAUCUAUAGCUGGUUUGAGAGGAUGAUCAGCCACACUGGGACUGAGACACGGCCCAGACUCCUACGGGAGGCAGCAGUGGGGAAUCUUAGACAAUGGGGGCAACCCUGAUCUAUCCAUGCCGCGUGUGUGAUGAAGGCCCUAGGGUCGUAAAGCACUUUCGCCAGAGAUGAUAAUGACAGUAUCUGGUAAAGAAACCCCGGCUAACUCCGUA
rnacentral:rRNA from 1 species